rnacentral:lncRNA from 1 species
ACUUUCAAUUGGUUCUUCAUCAGUUUCAUCAAAUAUAGGUGAAGAAUCUGAAAAAUCUUUAAAUUCUUCAAAACAGUUUUCAGAUUCACCUUGGAUUUUCUUACUGAUGGAAAAGGAUGGCUCAGCUACUGGGGCACGUGUGGAUGUGCUCUUUUUUUUUUUGGCUCUUUCUGACGUCUUUGAGGGCUUUGUCCACACCCUUCACAAAGUUAUCACAAAAUUGUUGGACAUCAAACUGAAGCAAUCGCCUUCUUGGAUCAGAUUCACCUUUGGAUGUAUUGACAUGCUCGUUGCUCCACCUGUUUGUUUUUUCCUGCACAUUAACACACUCAUCAAAAUAAUUCAAAGAAGAUUUAAAUGAAGAUUGAGAGGCUGAUGGUCGUGGGGAUUUCUCCUUGGUAUUUUUCCUUUGAAGACCA